rnacentral:rRNA from 1 species
UACAGAGGUCCCAAGCGUUGUUCGGAUUCACUGGGCGUAAAGGGUGCGUAGGCGGUCGGGUAAGUCUGAUGUGAAAUCUCACAGCUUAACUGUGAAACUGCAUUGGAUACUAUUCGGCUUGAGAGUUGGGAGGGGGGACUGGAAUUCUUGGUGUAGCAGUGAAAUGCGUAGAUAUCAAGAGGAACACCAGUGGCGAAGGCGAGUCCCUGGACAACUUCUGACGCUGAGGCACGAAAGCUAGGGGAGCAAACAGG